CCUACGGGAGGCAGCAGUGGGGAAUUUUGGACAAUGGGCGAAAGCCUGAUCCAGCAAUGCCGCGUGCAGGAUGAAGGCCUUCGGGUUGUAAACUGCUUUUGUACGGAACGAAACGGUCUUUUCUAAUACAGAGGGCUAAUGACGGUACCGUAAGAAUAAGCACCGGCUAACUACGUGCCAGCAGCCGCGGUAAUACGUAGGGUGCAAGCGUUAAUCGGAAUUACUGGGCGUAAAGCGUGCGCAGGCGGUUAUGUAAGACAGUUGUGAAAUCCCCGGGCUCAACCUGGGAAUUGCAUCUGUGACUGCAUAGCUAGAGUACGGUAGAGGGGGAUGGAAUUCCGCGUGUAGCAGUGAAAUGCGUAGAUAUGCGGAGGAACACCGAUGGCGAAGGCAAUCCCCUGGACCUGUACUGACGCUCAUGCACGAAAGCGUGGGGAGCAAACAGGAUUAGAUACCCUGGUAGUCCACGCCCUAAACGAUGUCAACUGGUUGUUGGGUCUUCACUGACUCAGUAACGAAGCUAACGCGUGAAGUUGACCGCCUGGGGAGGAGCGCGAGUAGACGACAANAGAGUAGUAGCGNGAGAGAGCGACGACGACGACGAGGGAGGAGG
rnacentral:rRNA from 1 species